rnacentral:rRNA from 1 species
AUAGGUCAAGCUACAAAGGGCGCAUGGUGAAUGCCUUGGCAUCAGGAGCCGAUGAAGGACGCGAUAAGCUGCGAUAAGCUUCGGGUAGACGCACAUAGUCAGAGAUCCGAAGAUUUCCGAAUG